AACAAAGCGGAAAAGGGCACACGGUGGAUGCCUUGGCAUGCAGAGGCGAUGAAGGACGUGUAAAGCUGCGAUAAGCUACGGGGAACUGCAAAAAAGUGUAGAUCCGUAGAUUUCCGAAUGGGGCAACCCAAUAGAGCCCACCUUGAGUGGGAGGCAUACCCGGGGAACUGAAACAUCUAAGUACCCGGAGGAAGAGAAAACAACAGUGAUUCCCUAAGUAGCGGCGAGCGAACGGGGAGCA
rnacentral:rRNA from 1 species